AGAGUUUGAUCCUGGCUCAGGACGAACGCUGGCGGCAUGCCUAAUACAUGCAAGUCGAGCGAACAGAUGAAGUGCUUGCACUUCUGACGUUAGCGGCGAACGGGUGAGUAACACGUAAGGAAUCUACCUAUAAGCGGGGGAUAACAUUCGGAAACGGGUGCUAAUACCGCAUAAUAUCUUCUUCCGCAUGGAAGAAGAUUGAAAGACGGCUCUGCUGUCACUUAUAGAUGACCUUGCGGUGCAUUAGUUAGUUGGUGGGGUAACGGCCUACCAAGACGAUGAUGCAUAGCCGACCUGAGAGGGUGAUCGGCCACAUUGGGACUGAGACACGGCCCAAACUCCUACGGGAGGCAGCAGUAGGGAAUCUUCCGCAAUGGGCGAAAGCCUGACGGAGCAAUGCCGCGUGAGUGAAGAAGGCCUUCGGGUCGUAAAACUCUGUUAUAAGAGAAGAACAAAUUGUAGAGUAACUGCUACAGUCUUGACGGUAUCUUAUCAGAAAGCCACGGCUAACUACGUGCCAGCAGCCGCGGUAAUACGUAGGUGGCAAGCGUUGUCCGGAUUUAUUGGGCGUAAAGGGAGCGCAGGUGGUUUCUUAAGUCUGAUGUGAAAGCCCACGGCUUAACCGUGGAGGGUCAUUGGAAACUGGGAAACUUGAGUACAGAAGAGGAAUGUGGAACUCCAUGUGUAGCGGUGGAAUGCGUAGAUAUAUGGAAGAACACCAGUGGCGAAGGCGACAUUCUGGUCUGUUACUGACACUGAGGCUCGAAAGCGUGGGGAGCAAACAGGAUUAGAUACCCUGGUAGUCC
rnacentral:rRNA from 1 species